CUCUUCUCAGCAAAAGGCAGAACUGAGCUUCUGAAGAUCAAUCUUCGCGAGGUCGAGCUCGACCCUGAUAUUCAGCUGGAAGAUAUAGCAGAGAAGAUUGAAGGCUAUUCUGGUGCUGACAUCACUAAUGUGUGCAGGGAUGCCUCUUUGAUGGCGAUGAGGCGGCGCAUCAAUGGCUUGAGCCCUGAAGAGAUCCGGGCCCUUUCUAAAGAGGAGCUUCAGAUGCCCGUCACCAAGGGAGACUUUGAGUUGGCUCUGAAGAAGAUCGCCAAGUCUGUCUCGGCUGCCGACUUGGAGAAGUACGAAAAAUGGAUGGUGGAAUUUGGAUCUGCCUGAAUUUCUGCCAGCUCUUUCAGUCCUGAGGUUUUUGUUUCUAAAAUGCAAAGAAGUUCCUGCAGUUUUUUAAAAUGGGAAUUUGGGGGAUUUUUCACGGUAGAGAUUUUCACUUGAAGAAAAGAUCUAAAACCACAAAGAAUACAAAAUGUAGUUGAGAAAUAAGCAGAGCUUAGGGCCCGAUCAUCCCCUGCUGUGCUGGGGUCCCAGCAUUCCUGCAUGAACACCACCUGCUGGAGCCUGCCCAUCAGGAAGGCCGAGGAAAUGAGCAGUGUGCUUGUGCUGUGUUAGGGACUUGUUUACAGAAGACAGAAAAGAACCUGCGUUUCCCACUUGAAUUUGUUUGUCUGUUUUUUCAGUUAUUUGCUCUGUCAGCAUGAAGGACCUAUCUAUAUAUGUUGGGUUUUAACAUCAAAACUGGGUUUGUGUAGAAUUCCUUAUUUGUUGAUAAGAGAGCAGUAAUAGUCUGUCUUGGAGAAGUAAUGACUUUGCUCGUUCAACCUUUAAAAUUCAUUGAUUAUCUACUAUCAGAGUCGGUCAUAUGGCUAGAAUCCCCCCUUCUACCUGCUAUAUAACCAUUUUUCGAGCUAUAGCCUUGUUUUCCAAUUCUUUCAAUAUCCUCAUGAAGGUGGGGAGAAUAUUAUGAUCGCGUUAGAUACACGUCUUCAUUCUGGACUUCUGAGUUCGUUUUUACUUUUCUUGUGAUAUGCUCAACACAUACAGCCAUUAUUUUUCACAACUCCAAUCUUGUUUGAUAUUGUUGAAUUUGACUUUAGUAUUUGAGAUAAAUACUUUGGCAUUCUAAACAAGUACACUCUCUGCGGCUGAUCCAAGCCAAACAAUAUCUUUAGUUUUCCAGACAGCUUGUUUAAUAAAACAGCAGCACACAUAGCAGAUCAGGUUCAUUUGAAAUUUCACAGUUCUUCCUUGUCCACAGGUUGAGAACUCUUGUACAUGGUAAGAUGAGGAUAAAAAUCUGGCAUGCUUUCUCAGUUCUGUAGGAAUUAGACAGUAGAAAAAAGCCAGGAAAAGUAAAUGGCUUAGAUCUCAUGACAGUAAAGUGUUCUGGUGUUAGUUUUUAUAAUUACAUGUGUCCUAUUUUGAUUACUAGGCAAUCCGUACUUUAAUGGUCAAGCUUCUUAACAUUUGUAUUUGAUGACAUUCUGAAUUCUCAAUUUUGGAUAGCACCUACUGGUUUAAAGCUAAAAGUAACAUAACUUUUUAGACACAUUUAAAAAAAGCUUUUUAGAAUCUUGCUUAAGAUAUUUGAUUUUUUUUUUCCCACUUAGAACUACAAAUGCCUUAUGUUCUUUUCAGUUAAGUCUAUUUACACUCUUGUUUUCAUCUGAGGCUAUAAAUUGCACUUUUUCCUCUAAGGCACGGAUUAUAAGACUUCAAAUUGAAGUGAGAGAAGUUUCUUUUUAUUCAUGAACUUUUAUUUAUUUUAGAUUUCAGGGGUACACGUGCGGGUGUUUUGCAUAGGUACGUUGCAUGACGGUGAGGGUUGAGCUUCUCUUGAGCCUGUCACCCAGGUGGUGGGUGUGGUACCCAGUGUAAAGUCGUCUUUACCCCCCUUGCCACCUCCCCACUUUAGGAGUCCCCCAUGGUAUUCAGUGUUUAACUCCCAUUUACUAGGGGAAACGUGGUAUUCAGUCUUCUGCUUCUGUGGUAAACUACAUCCAUGUCACUGCAAAUGAUGUUACUUUGUUCUUUUUUUACAGCGGCGUAGUAUUCCGUGGUGUAUUUGUACCACAUUUUCCUUAUCCAGUCCGCCAGUGAGGGGCCCCUGGGUUGGCUCCAUGUUUUUGUUAUUGUGGACAGGGCUGUGAAAAACACGCAAGUAGCAGGCGUCUUUUGGUAGAGAUGCAUGCCCCUUUUUCAUGAAUCGUAGUGAGGUUGCUGGGUCGAUGAUAAAUCUGUCUUUAGUUCUUUGGGAAAUCUCCAGACUGCUUUACACAGGGGUUGAACUAGCUGACAUCCCCACCAACAGUGUACGAGUGUGUGAACUUUUAAAAUAAGGAAAUGUCCUAUUGAGAUUCUCUUGCCAUCCAGUAAUGUUUUUUUUUUUUUCCUGAAGUUUUAGGGCCAACUGCUAAAAACAGUAGUCUUGUAAUUGUUAACAUUCGUUUGUAAUAUUUCAGUUGCUUAGUUUUACCUUUUCUGGGUUUUGCGUUAUUUAUCUUGGCAUGCUUGUUCUGAAUUCCUUAUGGAUAAUGACAUAGUAAUUGUGAUUUUUCAUUGCCAGUUAAGCAGCAUUUGGCAACUCAGAUUUCCUGGAAGCUUGUCUUUACUGUGUUAAGUGAGUCAGGUGUGCGUUCUUAUUUCUCUUGUUUCUCAUUUUGCUGUAUCAGUGGGUGGUAAGUGCUUUGCAUAUCUUGAAACCCUUAAAGGAUCUUGAAGCAAUUCAACCUUUGGUGUGUAUUGUAUAUGCAUGGUCUUUAUUGUAAAGGCAGUGUGUUCCCUUACCCAGAAUGAGACAGAAUUGUUUUGCUUUGUUUCAUUUUUCUGUGUUGCAAUAGCAGAUGCAUGAUCGAAGUAGAAAUAUUUGGUUCCUUUAAUUCCUCUGAAAACAUGAAUAUUCUGAGUUCUACAAAACAAUGAAUGUAGGACCUAGACGUGUGUAAUCCUGCUUUGCAGAUGUCUGAUCAGAUAGUCCCUUUAUUCUAUACAUUUUUAUUGGUUCUUACUGUGUACAAGACACGGUGGGUAGGAGCUCUGACGUGCAAAACUAGAUGAGACAGUGCACUUUCUCAGAUGACUCUAGCUUCUGGCUUCUACUGAAACAAGAGUUUAGAGCAUAGAUGGAGAGGCACAAUAAAAUCUGUGUGUGCUUUGGAAAGAUAAUAUAUACAGAGGGACUCUCCCUCUUUUUUGUUCUUUAAAUCUGUUUUAAAAUUAGAACUGCUUCCAUUUGUUUGAACAAUAGAUAACUAUUAGAGAUUUAAUUUAAUGAACAUUUUUUAUCAUUUUCCAAGGUAUGUGUGUAUUAUAAAUAUGUAUACAUGUAAUUACGGCGCAUGAUAUGUUACGUGUUCACUGUAAACAUUUGGCUUCCAUAAUUCUUUAAACAAAAGGAAAUCGCCAUUGGUGAAAUGGACCAGAUGAACAACUCUUGAAUGGUGGCUGCAACCUUCUGGUCGUCCAGGUAGAAAGUAGAUGAUGGCAUCCCAGACUCGUUAUCUUCUAGCCCCAGCAAUGUGGUCGUUCCAGAAAGACCAGACAUACUCUAGGGGCUGACCACACCUCCACACCAUCUUGGAAAGGGAAGCCUGCCGUGGUCCCGCUGCAUGGCAGGGCUAAGAUGAGCUCCUGAGGCUGCAGCUUUUGUGAUGCGGUAUUGGACUCUGAAAAAAUAGACUGAAAUCAUUACUCAAAAAGCAAGCAGGAAGUAUCUGGCAAAUCUCUUAUGAUCAGCCGUUUGGAUACAGCAGGGAAAACGUGUGCACACAACCCACAUUUACAGUGUAACCGGCACUCUCUCAUUUUGCUCCACAUAACCUGACUUGAAAAUGUUAGUACUGGUUGGGUGUGGCUCCUGAGUUCAUGUGAGUCCCUUUCUUGGAAGGAAGGUCCUUUGCAUGCGGCUGAAUUUGAGAUGAGAGUCAUGAAACAGGAACGAGGUGACAGAGUGAAGCCUCCGCUGUCCCCGAGCCUCGGUAGAGACAGAGUGAAGGAGGCACUUCACGUUGUGUGAGUGGACACACAUGUCCCGGAUGGAGUCUCCCUUGCAUAAUAGUAAAUUCCCAUUCUUCUUCUGUCUUCUCAUCGCCAAGUCACUUUCGGGUAUGCUCUGUAUGACAGACCUAAAAUGUGAAGGGGAUAUGGUGUGGCCUUUUCUCAUCACCACUAAUUUUAAUUUUCUUUUUCUUGGAAAAGGCCACCUCAACUUGUGUGAGGAAAAAUUGUAACUCCUCAUGAACCCUCUCCUUUAUCUUUUUUUCUUAACUGUUCAGGUCAUGUUGUUAUUAACAUCCUGCUUAAUUUGUGAUGCACAUAAUCUUUAUGUGAAUGUAAGAAUCUGUCACAAUAGAGAAAAGCAGAAAUUAUAGUUGGAGGACACGUCGUAAGGGGGACAAAAAUAUUUAACCCUAUAAUGUUUUACUCUCAUCGCCACUAAUUUUUUUUUUUUUGCAGAAAAAGCUAAAAACUGUAAUUAUUAUGUUUACUUAUUUAUACUUUUAAAUUAGACUUUUCACACUUAUUUAUUUAAUUUUUUUAGACAUUUGCUUUUGAUAUUUGUUUAAUGUGGAAACUAUGAGUAUUUAAACAAUCAGAUCCUUAAGAUAAUAGAUAUGCUCUUAAGCAUUCAUGUCAUUAACAAUAAUUCUUUGAAUUUUCAUCAGGUUUAUUGGCUCUGUACAACUCUUUCUUUAAUGACAUUUCUAAAUUUUCCGUGACUUGUUAAUAAAAACAGGCAACAUAUGAAGGUAAUGUUAUAAAAUUAUUUUAUUGCAUAUUUCUCAUUUCUUGAGAAAAUGAGUAAAUAAACCUAGAUGCUGUUUUAUCAGUGUGUAGGUUUUUGUACAUUUGGAAAUAGGAAUUUAAUUGAGAGACGUUUCCCUUAUGUAGAGAGCUACCAUUUCAUUUGAUGUUCAGACCUCUAACGUCCACUUUGACUUUACAGUCUCUGAAAUGGCUAGAUAGUGCCCUUUGGGAAACCUUAUUCUUUGCACGUGUUAUUCCAAGUCUACCUCAGUUGGCCAGGCUUGAUUUUAGACAGGAACGAACUGAAUUAAACCCAGUUCCUCUUCUGUGCAGAUCUGUUUCUUAAGCACUUCUCUUCUGUUCUUGCCCUCCUCCCAUCAACUUUUUUUUAACCCUGAAAUUUUUAUUUAAAAUAUUCUCUCUUCUUCCUGUGCAAAGCCACGUGCUCUGAACACGGCCCCUGUGAUACGCCUCACCUGCGCUCUCGUCUUUGUGACGCCAGCUUCACCUUCCGGAUGUCCCUUGUUCUGUGCAGUGGACACGUCCUCCCAUUUCUCAUGGCUUCGUAAUAUAGACUAAUGUGAUGGCAUCGAACAUUUUGGAGACCGUCCGACAAACCACUCCUGUAUUUAUUCUCUGAGAACUGAAGUACUUUAUGCAAACACACAAGACUGGACAAAAAUGUAUGCACAUGGCGUGGGCAGCGGCGUAGCCUGCCACUAGCACUGUGUGGACGCGGUGUCCGUAGCAUCGCUAUGUGUUCCCGGGGCUUGCAAGUGUGUUGCAACGAUUUCUGUUUUGGUGUCUGUCUCCCAGUGUCUGAACCUAAUUUAAAGAAUAGACAUUUCUAAUUAUAUUUAUUAAACAUGUUUUUCCUUACAUUUUGUGCUGCUGCUUUACUGGUCUCAUGAGCUUAAUUGUAUUCGUGUGCAGGUUGUAAUUUAGCAAUAAAUUUCAAGUGUUGGC